GCUGUGACUCAGUGGGAGAGCAUCUGCUUUGCAUGCAUAAGGUCCCAGGUUCAAUCCCCAAUCGCAUCUCUA